rnacentral:rRNA from 1 species
AUUGAACGCUGGCGGCAGGCCUAACACAUGCAAGUCGAACGAGUGGCGGACGGGUGAGUAAUGUCUGGGAAACUGCCCGAUGGAGGGGGAUAACUACUGGAAACGGUAGCUAAUACCGCAUACCAUCGGAUGUGCCCAGAUGGGCUUAGAUAGUUGGUGGGGUAAAGGCCUACCAAGGCGACGAUCCGUAACUGGUCUGAGAGGAUGAUCAGUCACACUGGAACUGAGACACGGUCCAGACUCCGCCGGGAGGCAGCAGUGGGGAAUAGUGGACAAUGGGCGAAAGCCUGAUCCAGCCAUGCCGCGUGUGUGAAGAAGGUCUGCGGAUUGUAAAGCACUUUAAGUUGGGAGGCGUUACCAACAGAAUAAGCACCGGCUAACUUCGUGCCAGCAGCCGCGGUAAUUC